rnacentral:rRNA from 1 species
UUGGGAAUCUUGGACAAUGGGGGAAACCCUGAUCCAGCCAUGCCGCGUGAGCGAUGAAGGCCUUCGGGUUGUAAAGCUCUUUCGCCAGGGACGAUAAUGACGGUACCUGGAUAAGAAGCCCCGGCUAACUUCGUGCCAGCAGCCGCGGUAAUACGAAGGGGGCUAGCGUUGUUCGGAAUUACUGGGCGUAAAGCGCGCGCAGGCGGCUUUUCAAGUCAGGGGUGAAAGCCCGGAGCUCAACUCCGGAACUGCCUUUGAAACUGUAGAGCUUGAGUACGGGAGAGGUGAGUGGAAUUCCCAGUGUAGAGGUGAAAUUCGUAGAUAUUGGGAAGAACACCGGUGGCGAAGGCGGCUCACUGGCCCGUUACUGACGCUCAGGCGCGACAGCGUGGGGAUCAAACAGGAUUAGAUACCCGCGUAGUCC